rnacentral:rRNA from 1 species
UACGAACUGUGCAAACGUUAUUCGGAAUCACUGGGCUUAAAGGGUGCGUAGGCGGUUGUUAAGUAGGUGUGAAGCCCCGGCCUCAACCGGGGAAGUUGCGCCCUAAACUAGGCGGACUAGAGUGAGAUAGGGGUGUGCGGAACUUCCGGUGGAGCGGUGAAAUGCGUUGAUAUCGGAAGGAACGCCGGUGGCGAAAGCGGCACACUGGGUCUCAACUGACGCUGAGGCACGAAAGCCAGGGGAGCAAACGGGAUUAGAUACCCGAGUAGU